rnacentral:rRNA from 1 species
GACGAACGCUGGCGGCGUGCUUAACACAUGCAAGUCGAACGGCAAGGCCCUGCUUUUGUGGGGUGCUCGAGUGGCGAACGGGUGAGUAACACGUGAGUAACCUGCCCUUGACUUUGGGAUAACUUCAGGAAACUGGGGCUAAUACCGGAUAGGAGAUCCUGCUGCAUGGUGGGGGUUGGAAAGUUUCGGCGGUUGGGGAUGGACGCGCGGCUUAUCAGCUUGUUGGUGGGGUAGUGGCUUACCAAGGCUUUGACUGGUAGCCGGCCUGAGAGGGUGACCGGCCACAUUGGGACUGAGAUACGGCCCAGACUCCUACGGUAGGCAGCAGUGGGGAAUAUUGCACAAUGGGCGGAAGCCUGAUGCAGCAACGCCGCGUGCGGGAUGACGGCCUUCGGGUUGUAAACCGCUUUCGCCUGUGACGAAACGUGAGUGACGGUAAUGGGUAAAGAAGCACCGGCUAACUACGUG